UAGGGAAUCUUCCGCAAUGGACGCAAGUCUGACGGAGCAACGCCGCGUGAGUGAAGAAGGAUUUCGGUUCGUAAAACUCUGUUGUUAGAGAAGAACAGCGCAUAGAGUAACUGUUAUGCGUGUGACGGUAUCUAACCAGAAAGCCACGGCUAACUACGUGCCAGCAGCCGCGGUAAUACGUAGGUGGCAAGCGUUGUCCGGAUUUAUUGGGCGUAAAGCGAGCGCAGGCGGUCAAUUAAGUCUGAUGUGAAAGCCCCCGGCUCAACCGGGGAGGGUCAUUGGAAACGGGUUGACUUGAGUGCAGAAGGGGAGAGUGGAAUUCCAUGUGUAGCGGUGAAAUGCGUAGAUAUAUGGAGGAACACCAGUGGCGAAGGCGACUCUCUGGUCUGUAACUGACGCUGAGGCUCGAAAGCGUGGGUAGCAAACAGG
rnacentral:rRNA from 1 species